rnacentral:rRNA from 1 species
CAGUCGCCACGGGAAUACGUAGGUGGCAAGCGUUGUCCGGAAUUAUUGGGCGUAAAGGGCUCGCAGGCGGUUUCUUAAGUCUGAUGUGAAAGCCCCCGGCUCAACCGGGGAGGGUCAUUGGAAACUGAGAAACUUGAGUGCAGAAGAGGAGAGUGGAAUUCCACGUGUAGCGGUGAAAUGCGUAGAGAUGUGGAGGAACACCAGUGGCGAAGGCGACUCUCUGGUCUGUAACUGACGCUGAGGAGCGAAAGCGUGGGGAGCGAACAGGAUUAGAUACCCCGGUAGUCCCUGUCUCUUAUAC